rnacentral:tRNA from 1 species
AGUCUUGUAGCUCAGUUGGGACGCCUCUCUCACAAAGAGGAUGCCACAGGUUCAAGCCCUGUCAGGACUACCA